UCUCCGGCAGCACUGUUGUUGCCAAACGUACUUCCACUCUCAAAGUGUUCUUAAACAAUGACAAUAACAACAACAAUGAAGAUGUAAAAUAAGUAAAGGGAGAGGAAGCAGAAACAGACAAUGAGGAAGAAGAGAAAAGAAAAAAUGAGGAAUCCUUAGAUGAGAUGCAUUGAAAGAUGUUACAAAAGGUUGCACCAAUGGAAAAUUUUAGUGAACCUGAUAUAAAUGUUAUGCUUGGGAAUUUACUCGCUCAACCCCAACGAGGGCGUGACGAUAAUUCUGGAAUUUCUAGCAGUGAAAACAAUUGGUCUGGGUGGCUCGAGGAGAGUGUAUUCCGGUUACUGGUUCCUGCGCAAAAAUUUGGUGGUAUUAUUGGUCAUAAAGGAGAGUUCAUUGAAAGAAUGUGUGAGGAGACGAGACAAGGGCUCGCAUUAAGAUUCUUGUUGGUCCUCCAGGCACUUCAAAAUGGACGGUGGCGUGAUUGAUUGUAUUGACUCUUAACGCCCAAAAUCUCUUCGCCAAUACACCUAUAGGCGUGACACAUGGCAUUCAAAAGAACCAACUUCAAAGCAAAGGACUCGACACCAACUCAAGACACCUACUUAGAAGGGUGAACCGGGGAUUUCACACUUAUUUGGACUAGGGUUUCAUUACACUUGUCCCAUCAAUGAGGAAAGAAGAACUAAAUAAAGGAGGACUCUUCCGAAGUUGGCGGUCGACUUUUGGUCGCAACAGUUGGCGCCGUCCGUGGGAACGAAAUUGCAGUGAUUACCUUUAGAUCUGUCUCUGGCAAUUAGUGGCAGUGGUGGAUCUAUUCCAAACGCGGUUUUCGAGUCAAAGAGGAGCAAAAGAGUAACCUCACCGUCAACUACAUUUCUCGAGUUUGAGUUUGCUAGAGAUCUGGGUCCACCUGAGCGCGAGGAGGACAUCCUGAUCUGGUUUCCAUGCCGCCAAGCAUGGUUUAAAGUAUUCACCAAGGCACCGGAAGACUUUUCAAACUUGAGAUGUUGGCUGGGAGCUGUAUGAGCGGUAAUGUCCACGUACUGUUCAAAGUUGUAUAUGCAAAGACGAGUGCAAGCUACGCUUCCGAAACAAAAUCAGGGGAGUAAUCUUACAAAAUUUUCUCAGCCUAUCUAUAAAUUAAUUUAUUCACUCUAUAUUUGUUCCAUUGAUUAACUUAGGUAAUUCUGGAGAGAUAACUAACUUAGUUUGAACCAACUCAAAUAGCUCAGCAACGUCUUUCUGUAACCAACCACUCCGCCCCCAAGCAAGCUCCCGACAACCGACCGCACAACUUCCGAGCAUACCAUCCCAAAACAUAAAGCUAAGCAUACCAUUCUAAGGCCUAGCAAACCAUCCCAUCCCAAGGCCGAGCAGACCAUCCCAAAAUAGACGAAAUCAAUUUACCGGGCAGAUCAUCUCAAAAUGGAGAACACCAUCCUAAAGUAGACCAAACCAGCUAGUGGACCAAACCAUCCCAAAAUGGAUCAGACCAACCCAAAGUGGACCACACUAGUUAGCCGAGCAAACUGUCCCAAAAUAAAGCACACCAUCCUAAAGUGGACCAAACCAGCUAGCCGAGCAGACCAUCCCAUUGACAAGGAUAGAAAAAAAAGGGGAGUUAACACAAGCUCUAAGCACUUAAGACUAAGAUUAGGUGGCAAAAGAGUAACUAUAUAGAUGUUUACAAACGAGUGGCAAUUCUGUAAAUAGAUUAAAAUUCAUAAUGGUGGAAUGGCAUUUUUGUAAACACCAGAACUAUCUAUUGUUAAAUGGGUUAGUCAAGAAGAGUGGACACAAAUGGGAAUUUAAAUUAUCGUUCAAGGCUGGAUUUGGAACUAAAAGCAAUUGAAGGACAAAGUGGCAUAAAGUGGCUUUAUACAGAAACAAGGGCGGCAGCACCAGUCUGGUUUUCUUCAUCAAUAGGACUCCAAACCAAACAAGAUUUCAGGUUUAAGUUCCUAACCUUUCAGCCUCGUAGAAACAUCCAACAACAGACCUUGUAAUUAGAUAAUGGGUUUAGAUUAAUUGCUGGGAGCAGAUCUGGGCGUUGGUUCACUGACCAGAUCUGGUUAUGCCUUCAAUCAUCACUACAGGAGCUUCAAAUGGGGCCAAACUCAUAGGGUUUUAGUCGCCCUUGGGAGUAGAAGCACGGCCUCAAGUAUCAGUCCACAACUUGAAGGAAUCAAAGAGUAUUCAGCGGACUUAUCCUGUGAAUCAGGUUGGAUUUCAAUUUCAAGCUUCUGGACUUUAGGAGCAGCGGUAGUUGUAGGUUCAGUUAUGUUGCUAGUGUUACUCCACAUCACAGGGAAGAAGAGGGUGGGAGAUAGAGAGAUCGAAGUUUGAUAGGACUGGCUACAAAAAAUGAAAGGAGGUAAACAAAGCAUAAUGGAAGAAAUAAAGUGAGAUAGAUUGAUA